AACGUAGGAGACAAACGUUAUCCGGAGUUACUGGGCGUAAAGGGCGUGUAGGUGGUUUCGUAAGUCUGGCGUGAAAUUUCUCGGCUUAACCGAGGCAAGUCGUCGGAUACUGCGGAACUUGAGGACGGUAGAGGCGUGUGGAAUUCCGGGUGUAGUGGUGAAAUGCGUAGAGAUCCGGAGGAACACCAGUGGCGAAGGCGACACGCUGGGCCGUACCUGACACUGAUGCGCGACAGCAUGGGGAGCAAACAGG
rnacentral:rRNA from 1 species